GCCUUACACAUGCAAGUCGAAGGGCAACGUGGCGUUAAGCUUGCUCCAGCCCGACAACGAGGGGCGAACGGGUGAGUAAUACGUCGGACCGCGGCCGCUCGUGGGGGACAUCCAGACGAAAGGAUGGCUAAUACCGCAUGAGGUCGACGGAAGAGGGAGGGGGACCCGCGAGGGCCUCUCGCGAGCGGAGCGGCCGAUGACUGAUUAGCCUGUUGGUGAGGUAACGGCUCACCAAAGCAACGAUCAGAAGCUGGUCUGAAAGGACGAGCACCCCCACUGGGACUGAGACACGGCCCAGACUCCUACGGGAGGCAGCAGUGGGGAAUUUUGGACAAUGGGCGCAAGCCUGAUCCAGCUAUUCCGCGUGUGGGAUGAAGGCCCUCGGGUUGUGAACCACUUUUGUAGAGAACAAAAAGACAUCUUCGAAGAAAGGAUGUGGCUGACGGUACUCUAAGAAUAAGCACCGGCUAACUACGUGCCAGCAGCCGCGGCAAGACGAAGGGUGCGAGCGUUAGAUCGGAAUGUACUGGGCGGAAGGGGAGCGCAGGCGGCUGAGUAAGACAGAUGUGACAUCCCCACAGCUUAAGCACGGGAAUGGCAUAUGUGACUGCUCGACUACAGUGUGUCAGAGGGAGGUGAAAUUGCACGUGUAGCAGUGAAAUGAGUAGAUAUGAGGAAGAACACCGAUGGCGAAGGCAGCGUCAUGGGACAUAACUGACGCUCAGGCAAGAAAGCGUGGGGAGCAAACAGAUCUAGAUACGAUGGUAGUGCAGUCCCUAACAGAUGUUAAGUAGUUGUUGGGAUGUAACAAUCUCAGUAACGCAGCCAACGAGAGAAGUUAGCUUCCUGGGAAGUACGUGUCGCAAGACUAAAAGUCAAAGGAAUUGACGGGGACCCGCACAAGCGGUGGAUGAUGUGGAUUAAUUAGAUGCAACGUGAAAGACGUUCCUUACCCUUGACAUGUCACGAAGGUAUUGUAAUGAGAGCGUGCCAGCAAGGGAGCGUGAACACAGAUGUUGCAUGGCGGUGUUCAGAUCGUGUCGUGAGAUGUUGGGUUAAGUCCCGCAACGAGCGCACCCCUUGUCAGUAGAGGUUAUGAAAGGGCAAUCUAGUGAGUCUGCCGGUGACAAACGGGAGGAAGGUGGGGAAGACGUCAAGUCCUCAUGGUCAUUAUGGGUAGGGCUUCACAGGUCAUACAAUGGUCGGAACAGAGGGCAGAGAAGCCGUGAGGUGGAGCCAAUCCCAGAAAUCCGAUAGUAGUCUGGAUGGCAGUAUGCAAGUCGACUGCAUGAAGUCGGAAUCGCUAGUAAUCGCGGAUCAGCAUGUCGCGGAGAAUACAUUGCAGGGUCUUGUACACACCGCCCGUCAGACAAUGGGAGUGGUGUUAACCAGAAGUCCUUAGCGUAACCGCAAGAAGGGCGGCGACCACGGUGAG
rnacentral:rRNA from 1 species